rnacentral:tRNA from 3 species
GGAGGCGCUCGGCUCGCUGGUGCGGCCCCCGGUCUUCAACACCGGAGUGGGGUGCGAGGAGCGCCCUGGGCAGGUUCGAUUCCUGUGCGCCUCCGA